rnacentral:rRNA from 1 species
CAGUCGCCGCGGUAAUACGUAGGUGGCAAGCGUUGUCCGGAAUUAUUGGGCGUAAAGCGCGCGCAGGUGGUUUAAUAAGUCUGAUGUGAAAGCCCACGGCUCAACCGUGGAGGGUCAUUGGAAACUGUUAAACUUGAGUGCAGGAGAGAAAAGUGGAAUUCCUAGUAUAGCGGUGAAAUGCGUAGAGAUUAGGAGGAACACCAGUGGCGAAGGCGGCUUUUUGGCCCGUAACUGACACUGAGGCGCGAAAGCGUGGGGAGCAAACAGGAUUAGAUACCCCUGUAGUCCCUGUCUCUUAUAC